UACGUAGGGUGCAAGCGUUAAUCGGAAUUACUGGGCGUAAAGCGUGCGCAGGCGGUUAUGUAAGACAGUUGUGAAAUCCCCGGGCUCAACCUGGGAAUUGCAUCUGUGACUGCAUAGCUAGAGUACGGGUAGAGGGGGAUGGAAUUCCGCGUGUAGCAGUGAAAUGCGUAGAUAUGCGGAGGAACACCGAUGGCGAAGGCAAUCCCCUGGACCUGUACUGACGCUCAUGCACGAAAGCGUGGGGAGCAAACGAGG
rnacentral:rRNA from 1 species